UACAGAGGUCUCAAGCGUUGUUCGGAUUCAUUGGGCGUAAAGGGUGCGUAGGCGGCGCGCUAAGUCGGGUGUGAAAUCUCGGGGCUUAACUCCGAAACUGCAUUCGAUACUGCCGUGCUUGAGGACUGGAGAGGAGACUGGAAUUUACGGUGUAGCGGUGAAAUGCGUAGAUAUCGUAAGGAAGACCAGUGGCGAAGGCGGGUCUCUGGACAGUUCCUGACGCUGAGGCACGAAGGUCAGGGGAGCAAACGGGG
rnacentral:rRNA from 1 species